UUGUAGCAUAAUGAUACAUUUAUUCACUUAUUUUUGUAGUGAAAUUAUAUAAUGAAAUUAAUUCUCUGGCUCCGUUCCGGCUCUUAACACAGAAGAGGAAGGCGCACGUUUCGAUGUUGAUUCCGGAUUACAAAAUGUAAAGUGUACACCAUAGUUCAUAGUUUUCAUAUCAUAUCAUAUCAUAUCAUCAUAUUUAAAUUGUUCAAUUUCCUCCUGAAAUUUCACUUUAUUCAUGAUGUUUUCUUGUAGCUUCUUACAGAUCAAGUCUCAACUUUAAAAUUAUGUAUUUAAAAUUACCUGUUUCCUUUAAACCUACUUAUUGACGGACAGCCCAUUUCUCUAGAAAUCGUUCUUUUCCCACACCCUUACAAGUAAUCGGGUUUGCAAUUGCCUUCCCAAAAACCCAAUUAUCCUGCUUAUUUUUCGUAUUUGCCAUUUCCUUACAUAUUCGUAGUCAUAUACACAUUCUUCAACUCUAGAAAUCGUUCUUUUUCCACACCCUUACAAGUAAUCGGUUUUGCAAUUGUCUUAAGAUACUUUCGAGUUUGUGGAAAACUUUUUGUCCGUGCCAAGGAGGUGCUACCGUGAAUAUUAGUGGCUAAUUAGAGUACAGCUACGCCCAGGUGGUCUCUCAUCUCGCUUUUUGACUGUUAACAGUCUCCUCCCCCGCUCUCCUAACAUUAGAGUUAAGUAGAAGCUGUUAGUUCUAAUUUAAAACCGAAAGAAAGCAAUAAAUUGAAGUAUUCUUUAGAGUUUUGAAAGUGAUUUUGAAUUUCGGUACGGGAACCAGACGACAGCCACCACCAAGGAAAGCCGCCACUGUCCAUUUCAUGAUCCAUCGACCGGAUAUUUCCAGGAGUUGACAAGAUCCAGCGUUCAGCGGCAAAGUUACCAAGUACUUCAAAAUCCCAGAUAACGCUCAUUUCUGCAGCACAGCAAACAACUGCAAACAUCUUGCCGAACAUUUUUUUCCGAAUUUUCGGUAUUUCUUCGCAUAUCAAGUAGUUGAUGUACUUGAUGCCUAAAUGCAUUAUCGAGGAGACAACUUUAGCAAAGGUGGACCAGGCUAGGCAGGCAUCCGUAUUUCCAGGAUAUUUCCAGGAGUUGACAAGAUCCAGCGUUCAGCGGCAAAGUUACCAAGUACUUCAAAAUCCCAGAUAACGCUCAUUUCUGCAGCACAGCAAACAACUGCAAACAUCUUGCCGAACAUUUUUUUCCGAAUUUUCGGUAUUUCUUCGCAUAUCAAGUAGUUGAUGUACUUGAUGCCUAAAUGCAUUAUCGAGGAGACAACUUUAGCAAAGGUGGACCAGGCUAGGCAGGCAUCCGUAAGGACUACCAAGGGAAUGUUUCGAAGGCCCCUAGCCAAGAUCACUGUGCUGGGCAUGAUGGAUGAAAGAAAGCACCCCAACAAAGAGAGGAGCUUACGGGGAAAGAAUUCUGCCGCGGAAAUUUCGCAAUAAGCCCGAUUGAAGGGUACUGCUUCUCCAAAUAAACUGUAUAUCAGAACCAUUACUUGCGAAGCUUUGGCGUAUGAUAUGCCGCGAUAUGCAGCCAUGCAAAGCGAGCGACUGUUUGCUACUGUUAUUCGGAGAGGACGUUUUGAAAGCCCACCAAAUGAUGAAAAUAAAGUAAAUUACUGAAUCAUUA